GAUUUGACUUUUCCUGCAUUUUAUAUUUUCUAGUGAAACCUUGAUAGCCGCAGCAACAUAUUCGUUAAGAAAAAAAACAUUUCUGUGCUCCAUUUGAUAGAUAAAUAGAACAAUUUAACUUAAAAAAUAAAUAAAAUCUUCUCAGUGUUAUUUGUGAAAACUAUUUAAAAAAAAAAACAAUCUACCGCACAAAUUCUUCGGCACGCCACAUAAAUUCCACCACCAUUUCCACCAUCAAAAUGCACAGCCUCAGCCUUGUGCAUUUAGAAAAAAAAUGACACAAAAACAACCACCAAUUGAUUUGGAAAAUAAAGUGGCGAUCAAUUCCAGACAUCAUUGACUGAGUUUACAGCAGCUUCAGCCUUGAGCAUUUAGAAAAAAAAAGUCAAAACAAGAUACAAAAACUACCACCAAAGUGCAGACUGCAGAGUAUUUUUUUUUUUUCAUUUUUCUCAACUGGCCAGGCCACAGUGGCGUGCCCAAGGAUCUUUUUUUUAUGUAUUUUGUUUUCAAAAAAAAACUAUUUUGUGUUUUUCCAAUAAAAUAUUAAAUAAUAGUUGUUUAAAAGAA